GAUGAAGAACGUAGCGAAAUGCGAUAAGUAAUGUGAAUUGCAGAAUUCAGUGAAUCAUCGAAUCUUUGAACGCACAUUGCGCCCCUUGGUAUUCCGAGGGGCAUGCCUGUUCGAGCGUCAUUGCUGCCCAUCAAGCACGGCUUGUGUGUUGGGUCGUCGUCCCCUCUCCGGGGGGGACGGGCCCCAAAGGCAGCGGCGGCACCGCGUCCGAUCCUCGAGCGUAUGGGGCUUUGUCACCCGCUCUGUAGGCCCGGCCGGCGCUUGCCGAACGCAAAACAACCAUUUUUUCCAGGUUGACCUCGGAUCAGGUAGGGAUACCCGCUGAACUUAAGCAUAUCAUAAGCGGAGGA
rnacentral:misc_RNA from 1 species